AUUGAACGCUGGCGGCAGGCUUAACACAUGCAAGUCGAACGAGUGGCGGACGGGUGAGUAAUGUCUGGAAAACUGCCUGAUGGCGGGGGAUAACUACUGGAAACGGUAGCUAAUACCGCAUACCAUCGGAUGUGCCCAGAGGGGAUUAGCUAGUAGGUGGGGGAAAGGCUCACCUAGGCGACGAUCCCUAGCUGGUCUGCGAGGAUGACCAGCCACACUGGAACGGAGACACGGUCAAGACUCCUACGGGAGGAAGCAGUGGGGAAUAUUGCACAAUGGGCGCAAGCCUGAUGCAGCCAUGCCGCGUGUGUGAAGAAGGCCGUCGGGUUGGAAAGCACUUUCAGCGGGGAGGCGUUACCCGCAGAAGAAGCACCGGCUAACUCCGUGCCAGCAGCCGCGGUAAUUC
rnacentral:rRNA from 1 species